rnacentral:rRNA from 1 species
GAUGAACGCUGACAGAAUGCUUAACACAUGCAAGUCUACUUGAUCCUUCGGGUGAUGGUGGCGGACGGGUGAGUAACGCGUAAAGAACUUGCCCUGCAGUCUGGGACAACAUUUGGAAACGAAUGCUAAUACCGGAUAUUAUGUGAGUUUCGCAUGAAAUUCAUAUGAAAGCUAUAUGCGCUGCAGGAGAGCUUUGCGUCCUAUUAGCUAGUUGGUGAGGUAACGGCUCACCAAGGCGAUGAUAGGUAGCCGGCCUGAGAGGGUGAACGGCCACAAGGGGACUGAGACACGGCCCUUACUCCUACGGGAGGCAGCAGUGGGGAAUAUUGGACAAUGGACCAAAAGUCUGAUCCAGCAAUUCUGUGUGCACGAUGAAGUUUUUCGGAAUGUAAAGUGCUUUCAGUUGGGACGAAGUAAGUGACGGUACCAACAGAAGAAGCGACGGCUAAAUACGUGCCAGCAGCCGCGGUAAUACGUAUGUCGCAAGCGUUAUCCGGAUUUAUUGGGCGUAAAGCGCGUCUAGGCGGUUUGGUAAGUCUGAUGUGAAAAUGCGGGGCUCAACUCCGUAUUGCGUUGGAAACUGCCAAACUAGAGUACUGGAGAGGUGGGCGGAACUACAAGUGUAGAGGUGAAAUUCGUAGAUAUUUGUAGGAAUGCCGAUGGGGAAGCCAGCCCACUGGACAGAUACUGACGCUAAAGCUCGAAAGCGUGGGUAGCAAACACGG